rnacentral:rRNA from 1 species
UACGAAGGGGGCUAGCGUUGCUCGGAAUCACUGGGCGUAAAGCGCACGUAGGCGGCUUUCUAAGUCAGGGGUGAAAUCCUGGAGCUCAACUCCAGAACUGCCUUUGAUACUGGAGAGCUCGAGUCCGGAAGAGGUGAGUGGAACUGCGAGUGUAGAGGUGAAAUUCGUAGAUAUUCGCAAGAACACCCGUGGCGAAGGCGGCUUACUGGUCCGGUACUGACGCUGAGGUGCGAAAGCGUGGGGAGCAAACAGG